rnacentral:lncRNA from 1 species
GGAACCGUAAUCUGCAUUUCUUAAAAGAUCUCUAAGAGGGAGGUGGGAAACAAAUGCCAGUGGGCAAGGGGGAAACAGGGAGACAAUUUCAGCAACCAUUUCAAUGCCCUAAGAAGGAGAUGGCGAGGAGUGAAUGAUCUUGGUGGCCUGGCAGGUGAAGAAGGAGGAGCUCACAUUGUUGACAAUUAACCCGAUCCAAGAGACCUGCAUAAAUCAAUCACUACAGGAAAAAAAAAAUUGUUCUUGAUCUACAGUGACAAAUGUGUAGACAAGAAAAAGAAACUUAGCCAUAAACAAGUUAGAGGGACUUGCCCAAGCUUACUCAGGCUAUGCAUGCGACAGCAGGAUUGGGA